rnacentral:rRNA from 1 species
UAGGGAAUCUUCGGCAAUGGGGGGAACCCUGACCGAGCAACGCCGCGUGAGUGAAGAAGGUUUUCGGAUCGUAAAGCUCUGUUGUUAAGGAAGAACGAGUGUGAGAAUGGAAAGUUCAUGCUGUGACGGUACUUAACCAGAAAGGGACGGCUAACUACGUGCCAGCAGCCGCGGUAAUACGUAGGUCCCGAGCGUUGUCCGGAUUUAUUGGGCGUAAAGCGAGCGCAGGCGGUUAGAAAAGUCUGAAGUGAAAGGCAGUGGCUCAACCAUUGUAGGCUUUGGAAACUGUUUAACUUGAGUGCAGAAGGGGAGAGUGGAAUUCCAUGUGUAGCGGUGAAAUGCGUAGAUAUAUGGAGGAACACCGGUGGCGAAAGGGGCUCUCUGGUCUGUAACUGACGCUGAGGCUCGAAAGCGUGGGGAGCGAACAGG